UGGGGAAUUUUGGACAAUGGGCGCAAGCCUGAUCCAGCCAUGCCGCGUGCGGGAAGAAGGCCUUCGGUUGUAAACCGCUUUUGUCAGGGAAGAAAUCUUCUGAGUUAAUACCUCGGGAGGAUGACGGUACCUGAAGAAAAAGCACCGGCUAACUACGUGCCAGCAGCCGCGGUAAUACGUAAGGUGCAAGCGUUAAUCGGAAUUACUGGGCGUAAAGCGUGCGCAGGCGGUUUUGUAAGACAGAGGUGAAAUCCCCGGGCUCAACCUGGGAACUGCCUUUGUGACUGCAAGGCUUGGGUGCGGCAGAGGGGGAUGGAAUUCCGCGUGUAGCAGUGAAAUGCGUAGAUAUGCGGAGGAACACCGAUGGCGAAGGCAAUCCCCUGGGCCUGCACUGACGCUCAUGCACGAAAGCGUGGGGAGCAAACAGGAUUAGAUACCCUGGUAGUCCACGCCCUAAACGAUGUCAACUGGUUGUUGGGCAAGGUUCCUUCUCAGUAACGUAGCUAACGCGUGAAGUUG
rnacentral:rRNA from 1 species